UACGAAGGGGGCUAGCGUUGCUCGGAAUCACUGGGCGUAAAGGGUGCGUAGGCGGGUCUUUAAGUCAGGGGUGAAAUCCUGGAGCUCAACUCCAGAGCUGCCUUUGAUACUGAAGAUCUUGAGUGCGGGAGAGGUGAGUGGAACUGCGAGUGUAGAGGUGAAAUUCGUAGAUAUUCGCAAGAACACCAGUGGCGAAGGCGGCUCACUGGCCCGAUACUGACGCUGAGGCACGAAAGCGUGGGGAGCAAACAGG
rnacentral:rRNA from 1 species